AACGCACAUUGCGCCCGCCGGUAUUCCGGCGGGCAUGCCUGUUCGAGCGUCAUUUCAACCCUCAAGCCUCGGCUUGGUGUUGGGGCGCCCGGGCCCUCCGCGGCCCGGGGCCCCCAAGUUCAUCGGCGGGCUCGUCGGUACACUGAGCGCAGUAAAACGCGGUAAAACGCGAACCUCGUUCGGAUCGUCCCGGCGUGCUCCAGCCGCUAAACCCCCAAUUCUUUAAAGGUUGACCUCGGAUCAGGUAGGAAUACCCGCUGAACUUAA
rnacentral:misc_RNA from 1 species